rnacentral:rRNA from 1 species
CUUACACAUGCAAGUCGAGGGGUAAGGUUUCUUCGGAGAGCACACGACCGGCGCACGGGUGAGUAACGCGUAUGCAACCUACCUUUUUCAGGAAGAUAGCUCCCGGAAACGGGAAUUAAUAUUCCAUAUUCUAUAUAUAUUGCCUGAUAUUGUAUAGUAAAGUAUUCCACGGAAAAAGAUGGGCAUGCGUGUCAUUAGCUAGUUGGUGAGAUAACAGCUCACCAAGGCGACGAUGACUAGGGGUUCUGAAAGGAUGAUCCCCCACACUGGUACUGAGACACGGACCAGACUCCUACGGGAGGCAGCAGUGAGGAAUAUUGCGCAAUGGAGGCAACUCUGACGCAGCCAUGCCGCGUGCAGGAGGACGGCUCUAUGGGUUGUAAACUGCUUUUCUUAACUAAGAAAGAUGGAUAUUUAUAUUCAUUUGACUGGUUUUGGAAUAAGCAUCGGCUAACUCCGUGCCAGCAGCCGCGGUAAUACGGAGGAUGCAAGCGUUAUCCGGAUUCACUAGGUUUAAAGGGUGCGUAGGCGGAAGGAUAAGUCAGUGGUGAAAUCUUGCGGCUUAACCGUAAAAUUGCCAUUGAUACUGUUUUUCUUGAGUGUGGUUGAGGUAGGCGGAAUGAGUAAUGUAGCGGUGAAAUGCUUAGAUAUUACUCAGAACACCGAUUGCGUAGGCAGCUUACUAAGCCAUUACUGACGCUGAUGCACGAAAGCGUGGGUAGCAAACAGGAUUAGAUACCCUGGUAGUCCACGCAGUAAACGUUGAUUACUCGUUGUUGGCAAUACAUCGUCAGCGACUGAGCAAAAGCAUUAAGUAAUCCACCUUGGGGAGUACGUCAGCAAUGAUGAAACUCAAAGGAAUUGACGGGGGCCCGCACAAGCGGAGGAACAUGUGGUUUAAUUCGAUGAUACGCGAGGAACAUUACCUGGGCUUAAAUGUUAAGUGCUAUACCGGGAGACCGGUUUUUCAUUCGGGACACUUUACAAGGUGCUGCAUGGUUGUCGUCAGCUCGUGCCGUGAGGUGUCGGGUUAAGUCCCA